rfam:Legionella longbeachae NSW150, complete genome
CCGUUCAUACCACUGAACGAAGCUAGGGCCAUGAAUAAAGAGCUGGCCUGACAAUGUAACAAAAGAGGGGAAGCUCUCUGGGGGACGUAUCGUGAGAGAAGCCCUUCCUGGUAGCCAUAUCUGGGUAAGUGC